rnacentral:rRNA from 1 species
UACAGAGGGUGCAAGCGUUAAUCGGAAUUACUGGGCGUAAAGCGUGCGCAGACGGUUGCGUAAGUCUGGUGUGAAAUCUCCCGGCUCAACUGGGAGGGUGCGCCGGAUACUGAGGGGCUAGAGUGUGGGAGAGGAAAGUGGAAUUCCAGGUGUAGCGGUGAAAUGCGUAGAUAUCUGGAGGAACACCGGUGGUGUAAACGGCUUUCUGGACCAUUACUGACGCUGAUGCACGAAAGCGUGGGUAGCAAACAGG